GCAAGAAGAGUCUGGGCGAUUGAAAAAUCGGGCGAACGGGAAAUCGGGCGAACAAUUUUUAGGACGAACGAACGUGGAACCUAAACACCCCCACCCCCCUUGAAAAAUCUUUCAACCCCUCAACAAAAAAAUACCCAACUACUCUGUCCACAAGGACCUGUGUGAAUUCCAAAAUAUUUGCAGAUAUAUAAAUUCAGAGGCUUAUAUUUACAUCUAGAAUGCAAGACUGAAAUUCCUAUAUAGUCACUUCCCAAAAAUGAGUUGUACUGUACAUACAUGUAUAUUUACAAAAUAUUUAUCAGUUUCAAAAAUAUUUAUUAAAUGUUGUUUUCUGUACUUGCAGGUAUUUGCAGGGCACUCCAUUAUACCACACUUAUAGCUUCUCCAAGAUUAUAAAUAUGAUACAUGUACACAGGCACAGUUACUUGUCAUCACAAGGAUCAGAAUUCAAGUACCAGAAUAGUCCUAACUCCUAAAUCAUCCUGAUUUGUCAAAAGUACAUGCAAGUAUUUUAUUAUUUUUUGGACACUUUUUUUUAGCUCACCUGAGCCAAAGGCUCAAUAACAGAAAAGCUAUAUUUAGUCAUAUUGACAUGUUUACAAGCAUCCUCAUGUAUUGAAGAUGUAAAUUUGUUCAAAUCAUGAGUACCCUUUGUGGUAGGGUGGGAAAUGAUGGGGAGUCAAAUUCCCUCGCCAAACCACCACCACACCCUUUCAGUAAACUUUCAAUUCUGAUCUGAUUUAUACAUUUUCCUAGCCGAUGUGCUCAGGUUAGCGAUGUGGCCCCUGGACCUUUUGUUUAAAAUUUUGACAAUUUUGACUACGCUGGAAAUAUUUCAUUUAAUUUUUCUCACCUAAGCCAGAAGCUUAAGUUAAUUAGCCCUUUUUGCAGUCAAAAUUUGUCUGUCAUAAUUAUUUUUUUCAUUUUCAUUGUUGAUCCAAACUUUAAACACAUUUUACUUAAAAAAAAUAACAAUUGUAAAAAUACCAGCUUAUAAAAAGUUAUUAAAUUUGUGAGAUUCUCAAUAUGAUACAUUUCAGCUACUGACACAACAGAAGAAUGUGGAGCAAGUGCCAAUAAAGGUUUGACUGAUGGGGUAUACCUGACUUCUCGGCAUUCUGGUUAUCACCAUCCGAUUCAGACAUGCCAGUGAAGAUCAACUUCAAGGUGACCCUUGCAUUGUGAGCUUUUGCUGAUGGACACAAAUUGUUCAGAAGAAAUCCAGCUACCACAUUAAUCACAGCCUGAUAGAUUUCUGGCGUGACUUCAGAAGAAACAUAGAUGCAAUGAUGAAACAUUAUCUCCAGACAUAUGGGUGGCCCUUGAGCAGAGAAUUGUCAAAAAUUGAAGCAUUCAAUAAAGAAGAUUAAGAAACAGAAUGUGUCCAGUUGUUUGUUCAUCAAAAGAAUAACUUGGAUAAUCAUAGUGGUGCUUCCUCAAAAUCUGCAUGUGUUUAAAUUAAGCAGUUUCAAAUGAAGAUUAAGAUAAAGCUCAUUAAGUCAUUUGCUGGAUCAGAUUUUGAGAUUGUACUUAUUGCAUCUUUAUGAAUAUCAGUAACAGUGAAACCUUGAUGAUUAGUUGUAGAAAUUCAUAUACAGAUCUAAGUAUUAGAAUUUCCUAAUACUUUUCCUCAAAUGGAUUAAAAGAAUUGAAAGUCCUAUAUAACUGUGUACAUCACAUGGAUUUGAUAUGAAUAUCACAUAAAAUUCACACGAAAUUCAUAUGAAAAUCUGUAAAGAAAGUAGCAAAAAUAUUCAUAUGAAUUUCGUGCGAAUUUUUUUUCGCAUGAUAUUCAUGCGAAUUUCAUGUAAAAAUCACAUG